GCCUGGCACAGUGGUGCAUGCUUGUAGUCCCAUCUACUCAGGAGGCUGAGGCUGGAGGAUCUCUUGAGUCCAGGAGUUCUGGGCUGUAGUGCGCUAUGCCGAUCGGGUGUCCGCACUAAGUUCGACAUCAAUAUGGUGACCUCCUGGGAGUGAGGGACCACCAGGUUGCCUAAAGGAGGAGUGAACCAGCCCAGGUCGGAAACAGAGCAGGUCAGAACUCCUGUGCUGAUCAGUAGUGGGAUCACACCUGUGAAUAGCCACUGCACUCCAGCCUGGGCAACAUAGCAAGACCCUCUCUCU
rnacentral:SRP_RNA from 1 species